UUAGUGACUGGUCAAACCGGUAUGGUUUCAGUACAUCAGGCAGUAUACCGACCGGUACCACCUUGUAUAUAAGGUGUUAAGAAUUUAUACUUUGUAUGGCUUUCCAUAUUGUUAAUUCUCCUGGUGCUUUUCAACAAUAUUGAAGUCCCAAAGUUCCAUAUUACCAUGUGAAGUUUCAAAUGAAUUUACAUGUCAUUGUGAUUGAUUAUUUACUUCAAAGGUUGUAAAGUAGCUUGAGGGAUUCGAUUAUUUUCUCAUCUUUCUUGUGUCAUAGUGGGUGAUGUUUUCAUUGACUGCAGGACUGCUUUUGAUUGAUUUUCCAGACACAUCCGACCUAUCAACAGGGAUCCUUUGUCUAGGGGUGGGCAAUUGGAAAAUAUUACACUGCUGAUCUCUCUAUAUGGACAGCUCAUCUAGAUGAACAGUUCUCAAUUAGAUCAAUGCCUAUUUAUAAGCAGUUGGAUGCCUUAGCGAUGGUUUUUGACAUGAGUGAUGUUCGAAACUCUCCCUAUGCUUUUUUAUUCUUCUGAUCUGGUUUGUCUUUACUUUUAUGGUCUUGAAUAGAUUGUUAUCUGAACUUAGACUAUGUUUUUGACCUACCGUAGUCUUUUUUUAUGCAUGUUCGAAUUGUGAAUAUAAUUUUUACAAAUUAGUGUAAAGCAUGCAUGAAUUUUACUGUAAGUGAUUUUUUUCUUCUCCUCUUGUUUAGUCUGCAGGAAUAUUCUUUUACUGCCCUCCAAGGGUGGGUUGCAAAAACUGAUAUUACAAAUUUGGAAUAAUACUGUGCAUAGGAAAAAAAACAGAUCUUGUGACUGGUCACUGUGCCCAUACAGAGUAUAGAACACAUUGCGGAAACUUUGAAAGUCCAAUGGUGAUCCAGACCCAGAGUAUAUGAAUUACAGGAUUGAUGAGACUGAAGCUUGUAGCUUACUGGGGCAUGAAAAAAAACCAUCUCUGGAAAUUAGAAAGUCAUAUCUAGACUGGUGCAUCAAGCAUACUAUAUAAUAUAUAGAAUCUUGUGCCUUGAUGAUAAAUGUAAAUUUCCCUCCUUUCCUUCUUAAACUGAAGUAUUUUCUAUGUUAAUGUUUUUUCGUGUUUAUCCCAUAUUUAGCUUAAUAAUUUGUUGUACUUAGCUGUUGCAUAUCAUUCACUACAGUUGAUAUUGAAGUUGACAUUUUUUUUUUCUCUGCAGCUUUAGUUUGAUGCUGUUUAUUUUCUGUAUCUACUUGUGGUUAGAAAUCAUAAUUAACAAGAGAGGUGCAAAUUUGCAGGGUGAACCUCACUUGUACAAGAGAAAUGCAAAUUCUACGAACUCAUUUCUGAUGCCCUCAUGUGCCUCUUUUUCAGAUUUUUCAUCUGUAAUUAUAUCAAGCUAUGAGAUAUGGAUUCUGAAUCGUAGGAUUAGCUAUGGAACAUUUUUAGCACUUCAACUUCCUUUAUGAUUUAAGAGAAUAUGUUACUAAUCUGAUUGACCUAAACAUUUCAUAAGUUUUUCCUUCAAACAUCUAAAAGCAAGGUUUAACUGGUUUCUACCUUGUGCUUGUUUAUGUCUGUAACAUUUCUGUCACAUUAAAUAGUAAUCUGGUAAUAGUGUCUUACAAUGUGUCCAUUGACAGGUCUUUUGGUUGAUGGUGAUAUCCAAGGGAUAGAUCGGCUGUAUGGAGCUCUUUCUGCUCAUAUGUGGCCUGGAAUGAUACUGAAAUCUGGAAAUAAGACAACAAAUCCCUCCCUAGUUGAGAAAGGAGUUCACAGAUGAUGAGAUCAAAUAUGAGUCUUUAUCUCAUGGUUUUUGACAAGGAGUGGGGGAUAUAUAUUGAUGCAGUUAUAACAAGAAUACUGAAUGAACCAGAGGCCAAGAUCAAUAAACACCCAUAACAUGAAAUAUCUGAUAUUCAUGGAGCAAAAAUUGAAACUUCAUCAGCCAUUCCUCUAUGUGGUGUAUCUAGUGCUUUUCUGAGUAAUCUUGCAUCAUAAAUGGGAAUUACAGAUGAACCUGUUACAGGAAACAACAUAGUUGAAAACCGAGAGAAGAAUGAGGGAGAACAUCUAUAGAACAAAAACCGAGAUCAAAUUUUGAGCAAGAGGAGCUUGAAUCUGAUGUCGUCAACACCACCAAGUUGGAUGAGGACGCAUAUGAUGGUCUGGCUGAUCUGCAAAGGCUAACGUAUGAGAUUGGUAACAUUCACGACAAUUUUAGGCUGAUGCCUGAUUCUCAAAGGAGAGAAAUGGAUCCAAAGCUAGCCAUGAAGACGGCUGCCACGUUUGGAGGAUGAAGAUAAUGAUAAAGAUGGCUUGUGGUGUUGCGGGAGAUCCUAAAUGUUGAUGUUCUCAUGAUGUUUUUCCGAUAGGCUGUAAAUGUGGAUGAUCUUUGGUUUUCAAGACAACUAACACGAGAUCAAAACUUAUGGUGUUGAGGCUACCUACAGCAGCUGAUACGCCAGGCACCUUCCGGUGAUUAGUUUGUGAAGAGGUCUUAUUAAAGCUUGUCGAUAUCUCAUU